AUUAGUCGGAGGUGGAGGAGACGAUACAGGGUUAAGGUUAAGAAAAAACCCAAUUUCUUUAUCAUAAACACUUCUCCUAAAAGCGUUUGAAAGAACAGACCAAGCAUCAACCACAAGAUGAAAAGCAUGGUCAGAGAAAGGGAAAUUGUUCUUCUGAGGGUUCAAUAGGAGCGCAAGACGUCGGUACUGAUUAGCGAUAAGUUCAGAAUCAUGAGUUUGGUUGGAAGGAAUUUGAAGAAUAGAGUAAUAAUCAAGAUGCUGGUUGUUGAUCCGCUUGUCGCCGGCGAUUAGGGUGUCAACGAUUGCAAGAAUUUGGUCGGCAGGUAAAAGGGUCGGGUCGGAUUCAUGGGCACGGGUCGCAAACGAUUUGCUUCCAACUAGGUCACGGUUAGUCAAUAGCUUCUCGGCAAUUGAUAACCACCGUAUCGCCUCCGCUCUCGACGUAUUUCCAGCGCCGUUCAUGAAGAAUGGAUGUUCCAUUUUUGAGUUUUUCAACUUCAGUUCCAAGAAAAGAAAGAAAUUGAAGUGAAG
rnacentral:misc_RNA from 1 species